GCGAGGACGAGCAAAGCCAGUCGUGUCGGAAAGUCGGGGAGAUCACCACGCUUCUCCCUCCCUCUCCUCACUCUCACUCGCCGCUCUCACCCUCGCGGCAGCCACUCUCCGUGCGAAGAUUAAAUCACGGACUCUUCGUAAACUCAAACAUACUGUCUUCACCUGAACUGUUACCUGAGGACUUUCUCAACUCAAACGGUAGCAAACAAAGUGUCUAAUAAGUGUUGCGGCAUAGAAUCAUUGUGUUCCAAGUGUUUCUAAGAGGACAGAACUAACUCAGACAGCGUCCAACAGUGUCUAUAAGUCUACCAUCACAUUCCUUCCUUGCACGGAUCUCCAAGCCUUCCCAGCGUUGGUUAAAACUGCAGUGUCGAGCGUACAGAAGCAGUGUGUUUGAAGUGUUUCCCUCCGGACCCAGCUCCUCACCGCCUCACAAGACUCCCUCCACUUCCAGGAAACGUUUCAGAGGACAGCCUGCGACGUUUUAGAAUCCCGCCUCACGCUUCCUGGCAAACGUUCGCUCGAGUGUCCUCCAAUCCGCUACUUGAUCAGGUGUGAGCCGGGCGCCGCCCUCACCUGGCCUCCGGGACAAGCACACCAGCGCAGGGAGCCGUCGAGUCGUGACGGAGGCGACAAGUAAGCGGAGCCUUGGUGUGGUGACCCUCCGUGACCCGCGCCUUCAUGACCCCUGAGACUGAGUGACCCUUCAUGAUACACCCCUCGGCAUCGACCCCAGUAGCCCCCGUUCGACAUCGCCCCCAGUGGCUCCCCUUAGGCAAGGACGGCAUGGCGGGGCAGGCGGUGAGGUGGUGAACCCAGUGAGAGUUGGAGGGAGCGACGCCCCUUCCGUGUACCUCGCAGUGCGUCCCCCGUUCAGUGUUCCCCAGUACCCUGAGUGAGGCGGGGGCACCAGGGGAGUGAACCAAGGGUGCCGAGAGGUUCUUACCCCCCCUCACUUCUCAUACACCCCCCAAUGACAUAGAUCCCUCCCCCCAGCCUCCAUCUCCCCCACUCUCCCUUCGUCGUCUCCUCGUCACCUCCUUCCUCACUGUGACUUUUCUCCCCUGAACAUUAUCUUUCCUCAGGCCAACUAACCUCCUCCUCCUCCUCCUCCUCCUCCUCCUCCUCCUCCUCCUCCUCCUUACCUUACCCACUCCUUCCUUUCCUCUCCUUUCAUUAAUCCAUCCCUCCCACCACCUCCACUUCCACCUCCCUCCCCGCCACCACCACCGCCACCACGUCUCGCCCACACAACUCCCCUGCGGCGGCUACUCCCUCCCCGCCCCAAAAAACUCGCCCGGACGGAAAUCAGGGGAGUGAGCGGAGUGGAAACGGCCAGCCCAGGAAAGUGAGGCGAAGGGGAGUGUGGGAAGCUGCUGGGAGGAAUGACGGUGCCCCCUCCACCACCACCAUCACCACCACCGCCUCCACCACCACCACUAUCACCACCACCACCACCACGGGCCUCACACGGUGGUUUGCUGAGGUGGUUGUGGUACUCCUCGCCCUCGUCUCCAGCGCCACCGCCUCCUUCAAGCUGAAACGUAAGUACUGGGGCUCUCUUAGGGGCUUAGGAGGGCCGGAGGCU